rnacentral:lncRNA from 1 species
UUCUGUUAGGCUGCAUUGUCUCUGUUAUGCUGUUGUAUCACUGUUGUCUGCGCUGUUUGACUGUGCAGGCUAUCUGGCUGCUUCGCUAAUUUUGUUGCUAGACUGGAUUGUUGGCUUUGUGGCUGUCUGUUGCUGUCAUUGUCAAGCAUCCUCUUGGUUUUGGGCUGCUGGUCUCCUUUUGUAUUUGAUCUUGGGUCUGUCAUUGUUGGCUUUUGAUUGAAGAACUGUGCUAGCUUUAGAUGGUUAAUUAAUUGUAAAGAUAAUGAAUGAUUAUGUAGUGG